AGGGUUUGAUUAUGGCUCAGGACGAACGCUGGCGGUGCGCCUUAUGCAUGCAAGUCGAGCGAAGCUUUUCAGUAGUUUACUACAGAAAAUGACUGAGCGGCGAACGGGUGAGUAACGCGUGAGCAAUCUACCUUAGUUACAGGGAUAGCCCGAGGAAACUCGGAUUAAUACCUGAUAUUCUUUACAUUUCGCAUGAAAUCAAAAGGAAAGGUCAGCCGAACUAAGAUGAGCUCGCGUUCUAUCAGCUAGUUGGUGAGGUAAAAGCUCACCAAGGCAACGACGGAUAGCUGGUCUGAGAGGACGAUCAGCCACACUGGGACUGAGACACGGCCCAGACUCCUACGGGAGGCUGCAGCAGGGAAUAUUGCGCAAUGAGCGAAAGCUUGACGCAGCGACACCGCGUGUGGGAUGACGGAUCUAGGUUUGUAAACCACUUUCAGGAGGGAAGAAAAUGACGGUACCUCCACAAGAAGCCCCGGCCAACUACGUGCCAGCCGCCGCGGUAAUA
rnacentral:rRNA from 1 species